UAAGUCGUAACAAGGUUUCCGUAGGUGAACCUGCGGAAGGAUCAUUAAUGAAUUUACGGGCGCUCUUUUUAGAGGUCCAACCAUUUUCAUUUCACACUGUGCACAAAUUUUUUACACCUUUUUUACUCGUAGAGUUAUAAGAAUGUUAUUGUCUCUUGAUUGAGCAUAAAUUAGUUAAAACUUUCAGCAACGGAUCUCUUGGCUCUCGCAUCGAUGAAGAACGCAGCGAAAUGCGAUACGUAAUGUGAAUUGCAGAAUUCAGUGAAUCAUCGAAUCUUUGAACGCACCUUGCACUCUUUGGUAUUCCGAAGAGUAUGUCUGUUUGAGUGUCAUGAAAUUCUCAACCCCCUUAUUUUGUAACGAGAUAGGCGUGGGCUUGGAUUAUGGCUGUUUGCUGGCUUUGAGUCGGCUCGGCUGAAAUAUACGAGCUAUCCGAUUUGAAAUGAACGGUUUGACUCGGCGUAAUAAUUGUUUCGCUGGGAACGUUUGAUUCAAGACAGUGGUGCUUCUAAUAUGGUUUUCCAUUAAGCUUUAGACCUCAAAUCAGAUAGGACUACCCGCUGAACUUAAGCAUAUCAAUAAGCGGAGGAAAAGAAACUAACAAGGAUUCCCCUAGUAACGGCGAGUGAAGUGGGAAAAGCUCAACUUUGAAAUCUGGCAGCUUCGCUGUCCGAGUUGUAGUCUCGAGAAGUGUUUUCCGA
rnacentral:rRNA from 1 species